CCAGACUCCUACGGGAGGCAGCAGUGGGGGAUAUUGCACAAUGGGGGGAACCCUGAUGCAGCGACGCCGCGUGGGUGAAGGAGCGUUUCGGCGCGUAAAGCCCUAUCGGCAGGGAAGAAGGAGGACGGUACCUGCAGAAGAAGCUCCGGCUAACUACGUGCCAGCAGCCGCGGUAAUACGUAGGGAGCGAGCGUUAUCCGGAUUCAUUGGGCGUAAAGCGCGCGUAGGCGGCUGCCUAAGCGGAACCUCUAACCCCGGGGCUCAACCUCGGGCCGGGUUCCGAACUGGGCGGCUCGAGUGCGGUAGAGGAGAGCGGAAUUCCCGGUGUAGCGGUGGAAUGCGCAGAUAUCGGGAAGAACACCGAUGGCGAAGGCAGCUCUCUGGGCCGGCACUGACGCUGAGGCGCGAAAGCUGGGGGAGCGAACAGGAUUAGAUACCCCGGUAAC
rnacentral:rRNA from 1 species